rnacentral:rRNA from 1 species
GACGAACGCUGGCGGCGUGCCUAAUCCAUGCAAGUAGAACGCCGUUGCGAACGGGUGAGUAACGCGUAGGUAAAUGCCUCAUAGCGGGGGAUCAUUAUUGGAAACGAUAGCUAAUACCGCAUACUGUGAGAUGGACCUGCGUUGUAGUAGCUAGUUGGUGCGGUAAAGGCUCACCACGGCGAAGCGACAUAGCCGACAUGAGAGGGUGAUCGGCCACACUGGGACUGAGACACGGCCCAGACUCCUACGGGAUGCAGCAGUAGGGAAUCGUCGGCAAUGGACGGAAGUCUGACCGAGCAACGCCGCGUGAGUGAAGAAGGUGUUCGGAGCGUAAAGCUCUGUGGUUAGAGAAGCGGUAACUACCCAGAAAGGGACGGCUAACUACGUGCCAGCAGCCGCGGUAAUUC